CCUCUCGGGAACAAGCCCGUGGCUUACUCCCUAGGCGCUAUCUCGAGGCAUUAAAAGAACCCUGUAUAUAUAUUUUACAGUAAAACUCCCUCUCAUACCGGGAGCUUGUGGCAUCAAGGCAACCUGGUGGAAGGUGUCCCUGCCCAUGGCAGCAGAUGGGACAAGAUGAUCUUAAAGGUCCCUGUAACCCAAACCGUUCCGUGAUUCUAAUAAAUUCCAACGUACAGGUUACGGGGAGCGACUAUCAAGUUGCAAUAUGAUGGAUCCAUUUUCAUGAAUAGACAGUGUCUCAGAUGAGGAGGACAGAAAAAGUUUGCGGCAGAGAAGGACAGAAGAAAAAGGAAUUCAAGAUUUUCAAAACAGGUGCCAAAAAGCAGACUUUCUUUCCUCGCUGCAGACAGCAGAUCAAACUCUGGACAAGAAAAAUCUGGCCUUCUUUGAGCCUGUUUGAACGCCGCAGCAUUGGCUGAGCUUGGCAGUAGUUCCCCAGCUCUGCUGUAUCCCAGCUAUCCCUCCAUGGGAAAAGUGUUUCUGCAAAUGCUCAUUUCUGAUCUGUCUCUUAACUAAUUCCCACACAUUCUACCAAAAGGACAUGCAGUUUAUUCCUCAGAUGCUCAAGUCACUUCAUUUCAACUGCUGCUUCCCCCUUUUGAUUAUGUGGUCACCACCCUGUAAUCCCAGACUUGCUGAAUUGUGGGGUUUCUCCACUGACCUUAGUGGGAUUUCAUUCACCUGGCAGGUGCUCUCAGGAACUGAAAGGCAGCAAAACUGAAAUGUCAGCUGGAGAGGGGCUUUUCUGCCACCCUUUUCCUGGAAACACAUGACCAAGAAAAGAUUCCUCAUGGCCACAGGCUUUAGUUUUCCCUCAACACCCACCUGCAUUUGGUUCUGUGAUGCAACAUUAGGGGAAAACACCACCUAAAGAGAAGGCAACUCUGAGGGACAGACACGCAGAUUUUCAUCUUAAUUGCAUGUUUUUAGGGCUUCAAAAAGUGUUUCAGAAUCAUCAGUGUAAUAUAACUUUUUUUCUGAAAUGCAAUUAGUAUUUACUGUAUGGAUUCUUUGGCUUUCCAAAAUAACAAUAUCGGUGUCAUUAUUUGUAAAUAGAUGUAACGAUUUUUUGACUCCAAGCUGGAAAUCGAUUCUGACUUUCCAUUCGUGCAAAACACGCAGAUGCAAACUUAAGGACUGUUGUGAGAGGAAUCUAACCAGCAAAAGGAGCUCAGACAGGAGGAGACAAGGGAGAAGGAAAUUAAAUAAGGAGAAGGACUAUUAAAGAACAGCUCCAAUGAUUGGGCUGUGCCACAGAAACAUCCUUGUCCCAACCACUCUGUGUGUCACUGGAAGGAACUACACUGUGAUCUCUGUUGCAGGCACUGUGCUUCCACGCCAUUUUACAGGAACGGAAUUUUCUGGAUCUUCCCCUUCUGAGUUAACACACAGGCACACCCUCACACAAAACAUAUGUUAAUAACUUCAGACCACAAAUUUAAUUUAUCUCAGCUUUCCACCUGCCAUCACUCCCUGUCGUGUGGCGCGGACCCAUCCGUAAACAAAACGGGGAUUCAUUUCCAUAGCAACAGCGAGGGGGACUUUGAUCAGCUCCAAUGAUUAUUUGUAGGCACGCAGGUUUACAGAUCUCAACACCCUCAGUGAAGGCUGAUCACCUUGUGUUUUUAAACGCAGGCACUUCAGUUGGUUUACAUGUACCAGCAGGAACACGAGGCAGAGGCACUAAAAAAACUACCUGUGAAAGGCAAACGAAGCCACCGGUCAUUAGCCCGGUGGC